rnacentral:rRNA from 1 species
UAGGGAAUCUUCCGCAAUGGGCGAAAGCCUGACGGAGCAACGCCGCGUGAGUGAUGAAGGUCUUCGGAUCGUAAAACUCUGUUAUUAGGGAAGAACAAAUGUGUAAGUAACUAUGCACGUCUUGACGGUACCUAAUCAGAAAGCCACGGCUAACUACGUGCCAGCAGCCGCGGUAAUACGUAGGUGGCAAGCGUUAUCCGGAAUUAUUGGGCGUAAAGCGCGCGUAGGCGGUUUUUUAAGUCUGAUGUGAAAGCCCACGGCUCAACCGUGGAGGGUCAUUGGAAACGGGAAAGCUUGAGUGCAGAAGAGGAAAGUGGAAUUCCAUGUGUAGCGGUGAAAUGCGCAGAGAUAUGGAGGAACACCAGUGGCGAAGGCGACUUUCUGGUCUGUAACUGACGCUGAUGUGCGAAAGCGUGGGGAUCAAACAGG